UGACCUGUCAUUGUGACUGAGAUGGCCCAGCCAGCCUGCGGAUAAUCAGAGCAAGGCUGCCAGAAUCCACUUCCCCUCAACCUUCAGAAUUCAAGUUAGAACCUGCCAGUCACUCUUCCGCUUUAAACCCUGCCACAGCUCUUCCCCUUCUUCUGGAGAGGUUCAAGCCCUUGCAGGCACAGUCUCCUUCCACCUCCUCUGGCCUCACCUCUCAUCCUCUGGUGAUGGAUUUCAGCCGCCUUGGUGCCCUUGCUGUUCCUGGAACCGGCCAAGAGCGGUCCAUCCUUCUCUCCUGUUUGCUACUUUUAAUCCCAGGAUUCUGCUCCAGGGGCUGAUCUCACAGACUCAUUCUUGCUGUGCACUGCCUUGCUGAGGCUUCCAGCCCGCUCUGGCCCACUGUCUCGAGCAGUGUGCCUGUCGCUUUCUGCCCCUUUUGCUACUUUCUUCCUAAUGGACCUUGUAACCUGUAUGUCAUUCUGUUUUGUGUGUCCAAGCACCUUCAACUGGACUCUAAAGGCCUGGACUUGAUGGGCCUGGAGCUUUUAGGUUAUGAGGUUAUGAUCCUGCUCUGUCCCAAGUGCCGACAACAGUGUCCAGGACUUUGAAGUGGACCUGGUAUGUUAAAGUCAUCUUGGAGGAUGAGUAUGAGAAGAACAAAAAUUGUCUCUCUGCAGGGAUGCUACAAGCUGUUAGCUGGAAGCAUUCAGAUGGCCAACUAUUUUUACCUUUAAUUUGCAUCUUCAAACUGAUGUUGCAGUGGUGACUACGAGGUGAUAAGCUUUGAAAAUCCAUCUUUAACUGAAAAGAUCAGAGUGACGCGGGGAGAGAAUUAAAAUGGAAAAGAACCGCACUGAAAACCUGGCUCCAUGGCUGAGAUGAGGAAAAUGUAUUGAAACAGCCAAAAGCCUCUCUGAAAGCAUCAUUUCACAUCCCGACAACACAGAACAAAUUGAACCAAUUCUAGGAAUUACGUCCCUUGGUAACAAACACGGCAGUCACUUUUAAAAAUGUCACCAAAUGGCUCUGUUGACUCUGUUUUGUAACAAGUCACAAGCAGAUGGCACUUUGAAGCCUACGACGUAUCUUGGAAAACAAAAUCUCUUAGACAUUUUUGUCUUCUUUGCUAAGAUAAAGUGAUGAAAGCCCAGAUGAAAGAAGCUUGGUGUGCACUGACAGGAAGCUGCACGCCAUUCAGGGGAUUUGCUCUAAUUUCUUAUAAAGAGGUAGCUCUGCAAUUGUCAACUCCGUCUCAGUUGAGUUCCAUGACAUUUUUUUUUUUUUUUUUUG